rnacentral:rRNA from 1 species
CUCGGGAAGUUGCAUUAUCCGCACCACAUGUGUUUUUCUUUGAAACAAACUUGCUUUGGCGGUGGGCCCAGCCUGCCGCCAGAGGUCUAAACUUGCAACCAAUUUUUUAUCAACUUGUCACACCAGAUUAUUACUAAUAGUCAAAACUUUCAACAACGGAUCUCUUGGUUCUCGCAUCGAUGAAGAACGCAGCGAAAUGCGAUACGUAAUAUGAAUUGCAGAUAUUCGUGAAUCAUCGAAUUUUUGAACGCACAUUGCGCCCUCUGGUAUUCCGGAGGGCAUGCCUGUUUGAGCGUCGUUUCUCCCUCAAACCGCUGGGUUUGGUGUUGAGCAAUACGACUUGGGUUUGCUUGAAAGACGGUAGUGGUAAGGCGGGAUCGCUUUGACAAUGGCUUAGGUCUAACCAAAAACAUUGCUUGCGGCGGUAACGUCUACCACGUAUAUCUUCAAACUUUGACCUCAAAUCAGGUAGGACUACCCGCUGAACUUAAGCAUAUCAAUAAGCGGAGGAA